UAAGAUACAUACAAAUCAUAAAAAUAUAAAAAAAUAUGUGACACGUCAACUUGCAUAAAAAAUAAUAAGAUCAGAAUCAAUAAGAAUAUUGUUAGAAGCAUUAACAGUUAACACCAGCACUGAAUAAAUAUGGUCAGUCCCAUAAUCAAAGCUAAGCUACA